rnacentral:rRNA from 1 species
UAACACGUAGGGGGCGAGCGUUGUUCGGAAUUACUGGGCGUAAAGGGCAUGUAGGCGGCCUUGUAAGCCUGGCGUGAAAGUCACCGGCUUAACCGGUGGAUUGCGUCGGGAACUGCAGGGCUUGAGUCACGGAGAGGGAGCUAGAAUUCCUGGUGUAGGGGUGAAAUCUGUAGAGAUCAGGAAGAAUACCAAUGGCGAAGGCAAGCUCCUGGCCGAUGACUGACGCUGAGGUGCGAAAGUGUGGGGAUCAAACAGGAUUAGAUACCCUGGUAGUCCACACUGUAAACGAUGUGCACUAGGUGCUGGGGCGGAUGCUUCAGUGCCGGAGCUAACGCGGUAAGUGCACCGCCUGGGGAGUAUGCUCGCAAGGGUGAAACUCAAAUGAAUUGACGG